ACGUUGCUGGAGAUUUUUUGGUACUUCAAGUUACUAGUCCGGUGCUCCACUGAUUUAUCAAUUGAGGAUGUGGUUUCGUGGUUGACCUCGUGCAACUUCUGCAACGAUUUGUUCAGCCCGAAAACUCUGACCAACAUGAUCGAGUGUUUUGAACAGUUUUUCCAGGUAGAAGAAAGUUUUUUGAAAGAACGGGACAAGCAGACCGAAUUAAUGUGCCGCCAUAUUCCAAAUAUGGACAAAAAAACUACAACCAUUCAAUUUCUUUUCAUCCGCGAGAACUGGGAAGACUAUGAGAAGGCGAACAACUACAGCCACGAGAACAAUUUGGAGCCAGUCAAGUUUAACGAACCCCCCAAUUUCUCCCAUUGGACAUAUGGCCAAUUAGUGGAGCAACUCGUGUGUGCAAUUACGAAAACAAGCGGAAAACUGACAAGAAGCCUCCGCGAAGCGGGAAGUAGCGAUGAGAGUCUGGAUUCAGCAGGAGGGGAAGGUAACGGCCACACCUUCAUGCUGGUGGAGAGACUGACAUGUGACAAACACGUGAUCAGAAUUCUCCCUUUUGCCCACAAGGUGGAUCCAACACUGCUUCCCAUGUGCGUGCUCAUGGAGUGCAGCAUGUUCCUGGUCGGAUUCCAGAUGCUGGCUAUGUUGACCUGCGAGGGCGAAACUGAACGAGGUGACUCGAGGAAAACGCGCGAGUUUGAGGUUGACCACGUGCGGUUGAAGUGGAACCGCAAAGAACAGAAGCCUUUGAAGUCAGAAAAGAGAUUCCACGCUGUACCUAUGCAUCUGACAGUGAAAGUGAACCUAGCCAGACUGAACCGCAAGGGAUCAUCAGAGAUGAAACAACUGUGUCUGUCCGAUUUCCAACUCUACUUCGGCGCCCUCUCCUCAAAGUCUGGCGGAAUCCUUAAAGACAAACCCAAGGACGCCAAGCUAUGGAAGAAAUCGCUGUCGCUGAUUGGAGACAACUAUUGUCACAUCCUCACUUUCAGAGACACCUCCACCAUGAUGAGCUGCUUCUGGAGUCUACAACACGCCAAGCUGGGUGGCUCUGGAGUUGACGAAUGGAUCCCUCGCCACAGACUAGACAACAUUCCUCGCAGGAGUCGCAUUACGAACCCAGUUACAUCAGGCUACAUGCCACUGAUCAAUAGCCGCGAGCAAAGGUUGUCUACUGGAUCAGCCGCUUCCCAUGGCUCGCUUGGCCAAGCGUCCUAUCUUGGCAAUGGGGGCAACCACAGUUCACCAGCCGAUACGGCUUCUGCGACUGAACAUGGAGUGGGAGGCGGAGAAGGUGGGAAUGGCAGAAGGACUGGGGGAAUGAGUGCUCAAAGCGUGAUAUCCAACAGACUGAGCAGAUCAGUGGAUAUGCUACAAUCAAUUCAGGAGCCUCUAACUUCUUUACCCGUGCACUUGCAAGAAACACCAGGAUUUGUGGGAAAAGAUAAAAGAAGCUCGAGUUCCCGAUUGACGAUGGCGUUGAAAAAGAUUCUCUAAUUAUUGAAGUCUAGUUUAUGGGAGCUAUGUGGAUUUUUCUAACGAUGCAGAAAGCGUAACACGAACUAUUGAUGCAUGACGAAUUAUAAAGCGCUACAAAAUCGUUCUAAUUUGAAUUGAGAGAUUGAGCAGCAAGCGGGAGAGAGCGGUGACCAACAGCUAGCUAGAAACUUUCAGGACAGAUGUAAACUAUUUUGUUAUGCGAGACAAUGUGAGCUGGUGAAUGACAAUCGACGUUUAUCUUUUGAAGUGCUUUUCUUAAUCUGUUUCAAUGUUUGAUUUCAAAUCAAUAUUUAGAUUUUAAAUUUUUAAUAAUUCCAAUUUUAAUUUUACAGUU